UCCUUCUGUUAUAUUCUUGAUUGUUUUUCUUGUUAGUUAGCAUAAAAGAUUUCUAUCGUCUUGUUGAAUUUGUUAAUAAUUAGAAAAUGAUUACAUUUUUCUGAUUAAAUUUUAGUGAUGCUUAGUUUGCCAUGCUGUGGAAGGUGGAGGCAGUCUCGAUGUGGAUGGGUGAAAGGUAAAGGUUGAGGGAACGAGGGCGUCGAAGGAUCCACCAAAGUUGCCAUUGUAGUUGACCACGCCACCGGCGGUGUGUCAGACCUUUGUUGCCUCUGCAGGGAAGGGCAGAAGGCCUGCACCGCCAUGGAUCCUGUCCCAUCAUCUUGAGCACUUGUCGGUAUUGCCAUAUUGCAGAUUAUCUCUGAGGGAAGUUACAUUAUUUUCCCGUUAAUUCAGAUAUAUUAAUAUGUCCAGAUGUAAUUCCAAAUAUCUUAUGUUAGGCAAAGCUUCUAAAAUCAGUGAAGCUCUAGAGCUACUAAGGACUGGUUAAAUCAGUAAAGUUUUACAAUAUCUGCAUGAGUGGUUAUAACAUAGCACAUGUUAUUUGGUACUUCACUAUGUGGUAUCCUUUUUUUUAAUCUUGAUUAUUGAGUCAACAUAUUGAUUGUGGGCUUAUAUACUGCCAAACUGGCCUUCUUAUUCUGUCAUCCAAUUCAUGCAAAAUUCACGCUCACCAUGACAAAGGCCUAAUUUGUUAGCUGAUGUAGUUUUCUAAUUGUGUGCUCUUCAUUUGUAGUUGCCAAGUCUUAAAAUAUUUGUAGUGACGUAACUUUUUUUCUUCAUAUCAGCAGGAUUUUAGAUAGCAUUUUUUAAUGCUAACUGAAGUAAUAAACAAAUUAGCUUAGAAGUCAGUGUAAAGUGCUUAAGAGGAUUUUUUUUUCUCUGCACUAACAAAAUUUGAUGGCAAUUCUUGUGAACUGAUCAAAGGUCAGGUUUCAAAAGGCUAAUUCUUUUUUCAAUGAACAACUACAAUGUGCAACACGAAACAUAGACCGGGACCUGAUGAUGGUGCUCCGGAGGCAAUGAGCUAGCACUGGGUUCACGUGCGAUCAUAGUUUGAGAAACUUAGCGAUCCUUCAAGUGCAUUGUGUCAAAAGAUUGUCGUGGUCCUGCUCUUCUACACUGCCCACAAGAGACAAUAGAUGACCAUGUUGUCAAUUCCAAACGGGAGCUCAUGUAGAGGAGCAGCAAAAGCAUGUCACACAUGCUCUAAUGUGGUUGUACGAACAACGUCUAUGCCAGCAAUGAUAUCUAUGUCAAGAAGAGUGGCAACUGUGGGAACCCAAUCAGAAGGUGGUUUAGACUCUCUUUAGCCGAUGUACGUUGCGCUCCACACAAGUGCGUCUGCAUUUUUUCCCUUGCACUCCUAGAGGGAUCAAGACACAUAGAAUUAGAAAUGAGAUGGUAGGCCUGAAAAUGUAAGAACUAAAGAAAUAUAUCCCCUUUCCUGUAUCUCUUCUCGAGAUGAAACAAUGUUUUUGCAAUAUUAUUUCCUGUAAAAUCUCAUAUUGAAAUAAUCUUGUAGACUUUAGUAUUGCAAGGUGUAAGAUGUUGAUUGCGAGUUGCAAAUCUUACACCAAGAGGUGGUAUCUCUCAGAAAA